CCUGGGAAGGGGGUGCUGACCUUCCUGGAGGAGGUGGCUUGAAGUGGGUUCAAACAAUGUCACACUGGAACUGGAGCCUCUGGGUUGCAAAUGGACUUUGGUGCGUAUCCUAACUCCUGAAAGUCAAGGAUUCCAAAACAUUAGCUUGUCCAGUCCAAAGCCAGGAUCUGUAAGACCAAAGGCCUGCUACUGUGAGCUCACAGCUUUUCCUCUUACAGGGACUUGUGUACAUCAUGGGAAAAAGGAGUCCAUGAGGGUAAAGGACAGACUCACGCUUCCCACUUUAGGACAAGACAGCACUGAAGUUAGCCCCUAGUGGCCAUUGAGGCACAGCAGAUUCCUGAUAGUUGUAGCUCAGAGAGAAAUGUGCCUCUGUCUAUGUGACCUUAAGUAAUGAGAACUCCUCUGACAACCUCUCACUGACAGUGUCCUCUGAGGUUUCUGAAUCAGCUGUUGUGGGUGGCAGGUUUUCUCUAGUACAGCCAAACAACUGAGAGAGGCAGUGGACCCAGACAGAGAGAUGCUAUUGGCAGCUCAGGGAGGGGGCAGGUUGGGCUUCAGUGGGGUGAACUGAUGACUCUGUAGCUCCUGCUCGGCCCCUGCAUGAACUUCUCAUCCACUCAUUUGCUUAGAGAACGAGGUAGAAGGCCUGGGCGUCUCCACAGCCCCUGAGUGCUUGCAGAUUGUUUCAGUUUUUCUCCUGGCUUGAGGUCUCUGAAGUCCAAGUGCCCCUGUGCAGUUGUUAAUAAGCACAGAGAGGCAUCUGUGUGGUGAUCAUGAGCAUGUGUAGGAGGCAGAGGAAACACCUGGAUGCUUUGAUAGUCCCCUCUCUACAGAGUGAUGGGAGAGCGGAGAGCCACCCAGGAGGCAUCUCAAGCCUGGGCCAAGAUCUUUGAGGUGUCUCUGACUUGAGUGCAUGCUCUCUUUCUCAUUAAGCCUCAGGCUGGUCUGUCCAUCCUCUGUUCCUUCUCACUAUGCAAGUUCACGUGUAGUCUUCUACCCGCAGAGGCUGGCAGAUAGCCAUCAGCCUCCACACCUGUCUCCACCAAGGAGCAGGUGAAGAGGGAAACAGGCUGACCACAUAGCUUCACAGGCUGAUGACUGAGAGGAAUGAAUUGCAGUGUCACCUGAAAGUCACCACUGAAGGAUCCUUGAAAAGUAGUUAUUGUCUCAAUAUCUGUGGGGUCUGAGAGUUUUGAGUCUGUUAUGUCAUCCUCAUCUUUUUUAAGAUCUUGGAUUUUAGGAGUCUGCCCCUCCAAUGUGUCCCCGUGUUCAACCUUAUGUCCCUAAAUGCUUCUCAGAGGAGAGGCAUAUUGGAAGCUUGGGCAGGAGUGAGAUGGGAAAUGGUCUCCAUCUUCCUCCAAAUAAAAAACAGAGCCUGUGGUCUGAGUGACAGAACUCAGAGAUUGAGAGAUUGGAGAGUGAGUUCCCAGUGAGCAGAGAUGUCGGAACAAAUGGAAGGUCUUGGAACGGGGGUCGCAUAGGUGGGCAUUCAGGGUGAAAUGUUCCCUGGUCAUCUCAGCAUAGUCUGGCAAAGAAAAGGUUUCCACAUACUUCAUCUAGCUUGAAGUCUGUCUGCAGUGUGGCAUAUCAUGCCUGUGUGCAUUGGCUAGAGGAAAACAUUGUGUCUUUUCCUUGUAAAUCCCUACCUUGAAACAUGAUGUCCUAGCUCCCCAGAAGCACGAUGUAGAGGCCUUUGUCUUGUCUGGCUUAGCUGCAAGGUCUUGGGAUCCUGAGUAGGUGGCCUGUAUUGUAUGAAUGUUUGUGCAUGCCUGUGUACCACCCAUCCUCUAAGAACACUGUCUUCUAAGGAAGGGGAUCGUGAAAAAAUGGAGGAAUUGCUGGAGGGCAGAUCCAAGAAGAGGAGCUGGGGAUCCAGGACAAGAAUUUAACAGAAAGUCUAAAGUAUCACUUUGAGGUCCUCUGGAGUAGGUAGGGGCCCAGGGUAGAAGGAGAAUAUGGACCCCACUGUGCCCACUGUACCUAGAUCUCUGUGUUUUAUGGGCUUUUCUGCUCAUCAGCAACUCUUAGAGCCACUGCCAGGAAAAGAGCAACUGUGUGAGUUUUGCUGGUCCAGUCAAUCUGUCCUGUGGUGGAAGAAGCCAUAGUUUUGCUCCUCUGUAUAACUGAGCUGCUAUGACCGCCUUCUGUGCUCUCUAGUAUGUUCUGAGCAGGCUGGUUUUGUUGCCACAGAAAUCUUCCUGCUUCUGCUUCCAGUUUGAAGGGAUCUCAACGUGGCCAACUCCAUGCUUGGCUGUAGUCAUAGUUUAUUCCUAACAUUCCCUUUAUAGCACAGAAACCACUCCACUAACAGUGCCCUCAGCCAUGUUUACCCAGUUCUUGAAGAGUUCAAUGGAUCAUAUGGUGUAAGGAGUUUCCAGAAUGAACCCUCGCAGAUACCUCUGCUGCAGGGAUGAUCAGAACCCUCAAGGGAAUGGUCUCUAUCAGACUCCCAGAGAGAGAGAGCCAGGCUGUGGCUUCUCAGCUCUAGUCUGAAGGAAACACAGCUUCCUGUUUGGUGCCGAAGCCUGUGCAGGGGACAUUUCUCUGUCACACAACUGGAGCAAUGCUGCUCCAGAAUGAUGGGCUCUGUCCUAAUCUCGUACAUUCUUCAGUGCAGGAUGCAUCCUGCCCUAGCAGGUUUGAGCUAGCCUCAGGACCAUGUGCAGGAGCCCAGAUUGUAGGGCUAUCUAUAAAAUGGUGUGCUGCAUAAGUACCCAACUGUGAAUUUGUUGUUUAUUGCUCACAUGCUGUUGACCCGCAGAAGGUUACUUUUACAAAACGAUGCCUGUGGGCUGCAGAAGAAUUUCCUAUUCUUAUGCUAGGUCAUUAAACAUACAGUGUCUAGAUAAAAAUGCUGACAUACUGUUUAAGGGUAGAAAAUGUCUACUCUCUGCUACUGGAUAAAGAUUAUUUGUUAGGAUUAUAAUAAUUUCAGACAUCUCUGGGUCUGUGGUGCUUAGGCGUGUUUUUACUGCACUCAUUGCUGUGUAACAGUUGAAAAGAAUGUCCGCCCUUAGUUCUCUCUCCUACCUUGAGGUUCUUUACCCUCUCCUCCACUUUUCUUGAUGUUUCCCCAUAACCUUGAAGAGUCAAGAAAGGAAGAGAUUCCACUUUAAAUCAAGGGACUUGGAUUUCUGUUGGCAUUGGAGAGUUCAUGAUUUAUUUACUCUUUUCUGAUUUUGCUGUUCUCUUUGCUUUGGGUCUUCUGAGUGUAGCUGUCAUGGCUGUAUUCGUCCCUUUCUUAGGUCUUCAUGGGAACCUGGGUCCUGUUGGGGUUACUGGGGCCCUGAAGAAGGGCUGGCAGGAGGAGACUGCCAGGGGCUUACUGUGUGGAGGUCGUUUCCAGAAACCUGUUCUUCAGGUGAAGAACAACUUGGAAAUACUGAGGGAGGAAAACCAAAAAAUGCAGGGGGAUUUUGCACUCCUGCAGCAUCACUUGGCGAAAUUGUAGUCAAAUUAUAAGAAGCAACAGGAAGAUACCAGUAACCCAUAGACCCAACACCAAAAGGCAUGGAGAGGCAUCUGGGUAUGGUUAAUGCCUUACACCAUUUCCCAUUGGACUUCCUAUCUGCUCUAUGACCCACCUCUGCUUUCACCCAUUACCUUUCUAAUCCACCCUCCCAUCCAGCCACCCAGCACAUCAAUGUGAUGGUUUAUGACUCUGUCUAUGCACAGAUAUUCUGGGAAGUUAGCUUCUUGUGAGUAAAUGAAUUAUUGCAAGGCAGAUCCUCUGUCCUGCGUGAAGUUGCAGCUAGGGAGGGAGAUAGGCAAAUAAUGUUUCCUACCUAUACAUGGCCUGCUGAUGCAUAGAGCGCUGAAUGAGUUCUGAGUACUGUGAAUCAUUUACAUGGCAGGGGUCAUUGGACAUCACUGGUGGGAAUCUGCUUGAUGGAAGAGCCUAGUGCAACUGGGAAAUAACUGCUUUUCAUUGUUGCCUAUUUACAUGUCCUAUGGCUUUCUCCUUUCUUCCUGAAACCAAGGAGGUCUCUUCUCUUUGCCUAAGGCUUGCUUCAUACUGAUAGAAACCUGAGUAGCAACUCUUCAGCUCUGUUCUCUGUGAGCAUUCCUGGGGAGUUCUCCCUUCCUGAAGACUCAAUUCUAGACCUGACUACAUAAUUAUGGAUUGAGGACAGACUUUUAAGGGGAUUCAGGAGUUGUUUGAGACUUGGACAUUCAGGCAACAAAGUUCUCAAAUCACAUCUAUAUAGUCCGGCCAAGCACAGUGCACAAUAUGCUCCAUAGUAGAUUCAUUUCCCCAUGGAUAGACAGAGUUGGUGUACUUAGUCUCAAAUCCCAUGCUCAUGUCACAUGAGGUUGCUUUUUGCUCAAUUCAUGUGUGUGUGGGGGUGUGUGGGGUAUGGGUAGUGCUUCAUGCAUGUGUGCACUGGCUGGAGGAGAACGUAGAGUUUCUUUCUUGUCAUUCUCUAACUUAAAAAAAUGGUUUCUUACUUCCCCAGAAGUUUGCUGGGGAAACAGAUUCUCUUUUGCUUUGCUGAGCAGCAAGCUUGUAUUCCUCUAUAUCCGUUUGCAUUUCUAUGGAAGUCUGUGCAUGCCUGUGUAUAACCCUCCACUAAGGACACCAUCUUCUAAUGAACAGCACAUGGAAAGAAUGGAGGAAAUGUUGCAGUAUGUGGUGAAACUGACGAUGGCCAUCAAGCAAAAGGAGUUAGCAUAGAAGCUGCAGCAUCACUUUGAGGACCUCCAGGUGAGGUCUAAGAAACUGCAGCAUGAGAUGGAUCUGGCCACAGCCCACGAAGAGAGUGUCCUGCAGAAAGACCUGCUGAGUCAUGAGCCCCCUGCUGAGCCCCAUCCCCAGAAACCACAGGAUCCCUUGGGUGGGUUUGCUUUAACAUAGUGUAUUUCCUCAGUGUGAAUAGGCCCUGAUUUCAUGGAGCCCGUGAGCCACCAGCCUUCUUCUGGGUCUGCUUCCCUUUGAUUUUCUGAUUUUCUGAAACUCCUCUUGAGAGAACUGGGGUGAUUUCCCAGUCAUUAAGUAUCAAAGACCAGGCACAGGCUGAAGUUUAGUGCUGCUAAAUUCGUAAUGAGAGAAUGCUACUUAACAUAAUUUUGUGUUUGAGGUUUGGUUUUUGGAUUUGAAUGUUUUGGGUUUUAUAUUGUUUUGGAGAUGUCAUAUAUUCUUGUUAAUGUUUUUCAAAAAUUCUUAAGGCUAUUUGCUCAUUAUAUUGGCUGCUGUUUUAAUGUCUGUUUAAAAAAAUAUAUGUCAAGAACGAAGACCAAAGUGUGGACACUGCCCCUUCUUAGAAUUGAGAACAAAACACCCAUGGAAGGAGUUACAGAGACAAAGUUUGGAGUUGUGAUGAAAGGAUGGACCAUCUAGAGACUGCCAUAUCCAGGGAUCCAUCCCAUAAUCAGCUUCCAAACGCUGACACCAUUGCAUACACUAGCAAGAUUUUGCUGAAAGGACCCAGAUAUAGCUGUCUCUUGUGAGACUAUGCCGGGGCCUAGCAAACACAGAAGUGGAUGCUCACAGUCAGCUAUUGGAUGGAUCACAGGGCCCCCAAUGGAGGAGCUAGAGAAAGUAUCCAAGGAGCUAAAGAGAUCUGCAACCCUGUAGGUGCAACAACAUUAUGAACUAACCAGUACCCCGGAGCUCUUGACUCUAGCUGCAUAUGGAUCAAAAGAUGGCCUAGUCAGCCAUCACUGGAAAGAGAGGCCCAUUGGACACGCAAACUUUAUAUGCCCCAGUACAGGGGAACGCCAGGGCCAAAAAGUGGGGGUGGGUGAGUAUGGGGGACUUUUGGGAUAGCAUUGGAAAUGUAAAUGAAGAAAAUACCUAAUUAAAAAAAAAUCAAAAAAAAAAAAAAAAGAAAGUCAAAAAAAAAAAAAAAUGAAGGGGACAUGCGUCCUCAUAAAGGAGGUAAGAAUCUCUCUUAGUAAAUUAUGGAAUACCAGAUAUUUCACAGUAAUCCUGAGUGAACUCUGAAAGAUAAUGUUUUUUAAAUGUAAAUUUACAGAAUGUUUUAUGAAGGUAUUAAGGAUCAACUCUCUUCUACAUUGUCCACUAGAUAUAAAUGGCAAUUUUACAAUCUUUGUAUAUUGGAAAAUUUUCAAAAUUAUAAAUGAUGUUAUCUUUUUAUCCAAUCAGGAUCCAUCCUAAAGAAGCAGAUGACUGACAGUGCAUCCUUUAUGCCCUUUAAAUUUCAUUGGGGUGGGGCGUAUCCUUAAAAGUCUUACCCUUCAGAAGCCCUAAUUUGCCUGUCCUCUGUGGAAUAAAGAGCUGUUGUCUCUGGAGCAGUGUGCGUUUGUCUGACAAUUUCAAUAUCAUACAGAUGGGGUAAAUGCCAAAACUGGAAUGGGCACAUAUGAACAUAGAAGGUCACUGUGAUAUGGCAUUUUCCCAAGAGUGGGGUGACAUCUGUGACAGGUACACAGUAGGUUAGGAACUAAAAUUUAUGAACUUUGAAUUGUCAGACUUAUUCCUGCAUCAUUCAAGGUAUAUUAUUCACCCUAGGAAAGUAGAAACUAAUUAAUAGCUUGUUAGUUUGGUUAACUGAAAUAUUUGAGCCCAGAAUAAGUUGUACUCUGUUUGUAGUCUUGUACUAUUUUUAUUUCAAUAUUACAAAUGUGUAAUGGUAUCAGUUCAAAAAUGUUUUGUAUGGCAUUGUUUUAAUGAAUAGCUUGUUUUUAAAAUUAAAAUAAAGAUGGCUAACUAAAAUA